CGGUACGGUACGGACCCGACCGUACGAAGGGAGGGGUAGUAGGUCCGGACCGAACCACGGUACGGGACGUGGAACGACGACCCGGACCCGAACGACCUUACCCGGUAACGGGGACGGACGACGACAGGGUAAAGGGUAAGUUACCUUUCCCAAACCUAAAGGUCGGGAAACGGUAAACGUUCGUAGUAGUAGGGAGACCGAACCGCCGGCGUAGACGACGAUAGGAACGUCCGGUUCGGGUAACGUAAGCCUUCGUUGUUGGGUUAAGGGAAACGAAAACUAAAGUCGACGAGGUAACGUUAACGUCGCCGUCGACCCUACCGUUCGGAACCGGUUAACCCUAACCGAAAGGAACCACCGACGGUACUAACGUUACGGCGACGCAGACGCCGGUACGUAACGUAGGUAGGCGAGACGUGUUCGACGUAAUUGGUCGGAAGUAAGCGCGCGCGAGGUCGUUACGUUAGUCUGAUGAGAACCGCCGACGCUACACGUGAGGUCAUUGGAAACUGGGGGACUUGAGUGCAGAAGAGGAAAGUGGAAUUCCAAGUGUAGCGGUGAAAUGCGUAGAGAUUUGGAGGAACACCAGUGGCGAAGGCGACUUUCUGGUCUGUAACUGACACUGAGGCGCGAAAGCGUGGGGAGCAAACAGGAUUAGAUACCCUGGUAGUCCACGCCGUAAACGAUG
rnacentral:rRNA from 1 species